GUCCACGCCCUAAACGAUGCUUACUCGACGUAUGGCACUAGAUGUUGUGCGUCCAAGGGAAACCGUUAAGUAAGCCACCUGGGGAGUACGACCGCAAGGUUGAAACUCAAAGGAAUUGACGGGGUCCGCACAAGCGGUGGAGCAUGUGGUUUAAUUCGAUGAUACGCGAGGAACCUUACCUGGGCUAGAAUGCGAGUGACGGAUCGGGAAACCGGUCUUUCUUCGGAACACAAAAGCAAGGUGCUGCAUGGCUGUCGU
rnacentral:rRNA from 1 species